rnacentral:rRNA from 1 species
CACGUAGGGUGCGAGCGUUGUCCGGAAUUAUUGGGCGUAAAGAGCUUGUAGGCGGUUUGUCGCGUCUGCUGUGAAAUUUCGGGGCUCAACCCCGAACUUGCAGUGGGUACGGGCAGACUAGAGUGUGGUAGGGGAGACUGGAAUUCCUGGUGUAGCGGUGAAAUGCGCAGAUAUCAGGAGGAACACCAAUGGCGAAGGCAGCUCGCUGGAACGGUACUGACGCUGAGGCGCGAAAGCGUGGGGAGCGAACAGGAUUAGAUACCCCG